rnacentral:rRNA from 1 species
GACGAACGCUGGCGGCGUGCUUAACACAUGCAAGUCGAACGAAGUGGUGAACGGGUGAGUAACGCGUAAUCAACCUGUCCUUCAGAGGGGGACAACAGUUGGACACGACUGCUAAUACCGCAUACCGACGCUGGGGAUUGCGUGUGAUUAGCUAGUUGGGGGGGGAACGGCCCACCAAGGCGAAGAUCAGUAGCCGGACUUGAAGGAUGGACGGCCAAAUUGGGACUGGGACACGGCUCAAACUCCUACGGGGGGGCAGAAGUGGGAAUCUUCCGGAAUGGGCGAAAGGCCGACGGAGCAACGCCGCGUGAGGUAUGACGGCCUUCGGGUUGUAAAGCUUUUUUAAUCGGGACGCGGUACCGAAAUAGAAAGCCACGGCUAACUACGUGCCAGCAGCCGCGGUAAUAC